rnacentral:rRNA from 1 species
UACGAAGGGGGCUAGCGUUGCUCGGAAUCACUGGGCGUAAAGCGCACGUAGGCGGCUUCUUAAGUCAGGGGUGAAAUCCUGGAGCUCAACUCCAGAACUGCCUUUGAUACUGAGAGGCUUGAGUCCGGGAGAGGUGAGUGGAACUGCGAGUGUAGAGGUGAAAUUCGUAGAUAUUCGCAAGAACACCAGUGGCGAACGCGGCUCACUGGCCCGGUACUGACGCUGAGGUGCGAAAGCUAGGGGAGCAAACGGG